rnacentral:rRNA from 1 species
GACGAACGCUGGCGGCGUGCCUAAUACAUGCAAGUCGAACGCAGUGGGGACGGGUGCGUAACACGUGGGUAACCUCCCAUCAGAGGGGAUAACACUUGGAAACAGGUGCUAAACCGAUACUGAUGGAUGGACUCGCGGUGCAUUAGCUAGUUGGUGGGGUAACGGCUCACCAAGGCCACGAUGCAUAGCCGACCUGAGAGGGUGAUCAGCCACACUGGGACUGAGACACGGCCCAGACUCCUACGGGAGGCAGCAGUGGGGAAUAUUCGACAAUGGACGAAAGUCUGACCUAGCAACGCCGCGUGAGUGAAGAAGGUUUUCGGAUCGUAAAGCACUGUUGUUAGAGAAGCGGUAUCUAACCAGGAAGCAACGGCUAACUACGUGCCAGCAGCCGCGGUAAUUC